rnacentral:rRNA from 1 species
GAGUUUGAUUCUGGCUCAGGAUGAACGCGGCGGCGUGCCUAACACAUGCAAGUCGAACGAAGAAUUUUUUGGAAGUUUUCGGAUGGAAGAAAAAUUACUUAGUGGCGGACGGGUGAGUAACGCGUAAGUAAUCAACCUACAACACACGAAUAACUAAGAGAAAUCUUAGCUAAUACGAGAUGAAGUAAGUAUAUCGGGAGAUAUAAAUAUGAAAGCUGAGGCGGUUGUAGACGAGCUUGCGUCUGAUUAGCUAGUUGGCAGGGUAAGAGCCUACCAAGGCGACGAUCAGUAGCCGGCCUGAGAGGGUGAACGGCCACAUCGGAACUGAGAGACGGUCCAAACUCCUACGGGAGGCAGCAGUGGGGGAUAUUGCACAAUGGGCGAAAGCCUGAUGCAGCAACGCCGCGUGAGCGAAGAAGGCUUUCGAGUCGUAAAGCUCUGUCGUAUGGGAAGAAAAAAAUGACAGUACCAUACAAGAAGCCCCGCA